CGAUCAAUGGCCUCGCUCCACGUCAUCCAACCGCCGCCACGUCAGCGCAGGAUCGAGGGGAGGCUUUCUCGCCGACUCGCCCUCGCCGCGGGAGAUCUCUCGCUUUCCCUCCAAACAGUAUCGCUUCGCGACAAGGCGUCCUCGGGGCCGCUGAGUGAGGCGCCAUGGCGAGUGGCGGCGGCGGGCGGCGGCGGAAGCCGAGGCCGAGGGCGCGGGGCAAGGGGAAGAAGACCAAGUACCUCAGCCUCAGCGACCUCCUGAUCAAGGCCGAGGUGGGGACGCCGCCGCGGUCGCCGGGGGAUGAGCCCGCGCCGGCGUGGGAGGAGGCGGAGGUGAAGCGGGAGGACGGCGGGGAUGGGGCCGGGCAGCAGCAGCAGGUGGAGCCGUUCCCGCUGCACCACGAGGCGUCCACCCUGUUCGCGGCGCUGCCGGCGCCGUCGCUCUCCGACAUCCUCGGCGCCUCCGCCGGCGGCACCGACGAGUCGCCGUCGCCGUCCGCCUCGCCGGACGGGGGCUCGGGGUUCACGGGCGCGGAGGAAGAGGACCUGGCGCGGCGCGCGCUGCGGGGCAGGGAGCGGUGGGUGUACUGCAGCAGCGGCUCCUCGCCGACCGCGACCACGGCCACCACCGCCACCACGUCGUCGUCGUCGCCGUGCUCGUCCGCGGCCAGCACUGGCGCCUCGGCGCGGUCGCUGCUGCUCAAGCUGGACCACGAGGAGAUCCUCGCCGCAUGGGCGGACCGGGGGUCGCUCUACAUCGGCGGCGGCGCUGACAGCGACGCCGCGCCGGAGCUGGGGCUCGACGCCGUGUUGGUGGAGGUGGAGCCGUCCGAGCACGCCGCGGGUGCGCCGCCGUCGGCGGCGUGCGCGUGGAGCGCGCGGGAGAUGGCACCGGCGGGGCCGGAGAGGGCGGAGAAGGUGAGGCGAUACAAGGAGAAGCGGCGGAACCGGUUGUUCGCGAGGCGGAUCCGGUACGAGGUUCGCCGGGUCAAUGCCGUCAAGCGGCCGCGGUUCAAGGGCCGUUUCAUCAAGGAACACGAGGAAAGCGAGCUCCAGCCUACAUAGCUCCCUUUGGCUUCUUUCAUCACUGCAAGGAUAGCCCGUGUAUAUAUACGAACAGUAAACUGCUGCUGUUGCAAUAUGCAAGUGCAUGUGAAUUGAGAAGUCGACCUGAUGGAGAGGGAUGUGUCGGUCCACUCCGUCGUGCCGUUCUGCUGCGCCUGCUGGAGUCGGGGUACUACAGUCAUGUGAUGUGAGGCCGAUCCGGGGAACCGAGGCCCACCUGUCAGCCAGCUUUGUCGUGGACUCGGGCUGGGCCACCUGUGUAUGUCUUGUUCCUUUUGGCUGCCAAGUCGGCGGCUGUCGCCGGUGACGGCUCGGAGAUCGAUCGACGGGCUCCGUCUUGGACCACCGCAUGGAACGGAUGGAGUAGAAUUCAAGUUAUUUUGACAUGUGAUUUUUUUUAUCUACAGGAACUGAA